rnacentral:rRNA from 1 species
UACGUAGGGUGCAAGCGUUAAUCGGAAUUACUGGGCGUAAAGCGUGCGCAGGCGGUUAUGCAAGACAGAUGUGAAAUCCCCGGGCUCAACCUGGGAACUGCAUUUGUGACUGCAUGGCUAGAGUACGGUAGAGGGGGACGUGGAAUUCCGGGUGGAGCGGUGAAAUGCGUAGAGAUCCGGAGGAACACCGACGGCGCAGGCAGCGUCCUGGCCGCUUGCUGACACUGACGCUCAUGCACGAAAGCGUGGGGAGCAAACGAGG